AUCACCAUAGUGGCUUGCAAGCAACUCACUGUGCUUUGGUGCCAGACUAUCUGAAUUUUUAAUUCAGUGAUGGACGAUUUCUGGGUGCAGUCAAGUACUUGCGAAGUUAGUGUGUGAGUCAAGAUGAAAUUGAUCCUUCCGAAUAAGUAAGAGUUAAUGUAUCAGUGUGUUUCAAUUUAGUAAAAUCUUGGUCAGGAUAAUCUAUGUGAUGGAUUUGAAUGGUUGAGACAUAAUGUGAUUGACA
rnacentral:lncRNA from 1 species